ensembl:snoRNA SNORA71 Small nucleolar RNA SNORA71
CUCUGCAUUUGGAAGUGAUCACAGCUGCCCGUGUCCUGCUCAUUGGUAGUGCAGACAGAGGAAACGUGGAGAGGAUUGUCCCAUGUUGGAGGGUCCGCAUCCUCCCCUUCCAGUUCUGGGAGCUUUUCCACA